rnacentral:rRNA from 1 species
GUCUACAGCCAUACCACCCAGAACAUGCACAAUCUCCUCUGAUCUCAGAAGCUUAGCAGGGUACAGGGCUUGGUUAGUACUUGGAUGGGAGAUCUAAAGGGCAAGAAAGAUGCCAACA